UACGUAGGGUCCGAGCGUUGUCCGGAAUUACUGGGCGUAAAGCGUGCGCAGGCGGUUCGUUGUGUCGGCGGUGAAAGCCCCCGGGCUUAACCUGGGAAUGGCCGUUGAAACUGGCGAACUGGAGUGUGGCAGAGGGGGGGUGGAAUUCCGCGUGUAGCAGUGAAAUGCGUAGAGAUGCGGAGGAACACCGAUGGCGAAGGCAGCCCCCCCUGGGCUAACACUGACGCUCAGGCACGAAAAGCGUGGGGGAGCAAACAGG
rnacentral:rRNA from 1 species